rnacentral:rRNA from 1 species
CACGUAGGCGGCUUGGUAAGUCAGAUGUGGAAGCCCGGGGCUUAACCCCGGAAGUGCAUUUGAUACUGUCAGGCUUGAGUAUGGGAGAGGGAAGUGGAAUUCCUGGUGUAGAGGUGAAAUUCGUAGAUAUCAGGAGGAACACCGGUGGCGAAGGCGACUUCCUGGACCAAUACUGACGCUGAGGUGCGAAGGCGUGGGUAGCAAACA